UACGUAGGGUGCAAGCGUUAAUCGGAAUUACUGGGCGUAAAGCGUGCGCAGGCGGUUGUGUAAGACUGACGUGAAAUCCCCGGGCUCAACCUGGGAAUUGCGUUGGAGACUGCAAGGCUAGAAUCUGGCAGAGGGGGGUAGAAUUCCACGUGUAGCAGUGAAAUGCGUAGAGAUGUGGAGGAACACCGAUGGCGAAGGCAGCCCCCUGGGUCAAGAUUGACGCUCAUGCACGAAAGCGUGGGGAGCAAACAGG
rnacentral:rRNA from 1 species